UGAGCAGCGACAAUUUGUGCUAGGCCACAUGUAUCUGCCUGCCUGCUGAAUUCCCUUGGCUCAUUUCAGUGAAAAGAUGGAGGGGGCUUCUCUUUACUCCACUCUGACUAUGUUCUGGUCUGCUGAUGAGAAUUAGAAUCCUAAAACCAUUGUGUGGAUUUAGAUUUGGGUUUGAUCCAUGGAACUGUUUAUACAGACUGGGUAAUGCUGUCAAGAGUCCCUUUAACACCCAAUUUAAAAGGUCAUGCUAAAACAAUAAUAACCUCAACGGAUCUCAGAAAGGCUCUUGGCAUGCCCCUUGCUGUGGAAGAAAAAAACAGAAACAAGAAACAAAUUCUGCUUGCAAAGUAAUGGCAAUUCUCUAGCAAUGACACCUCCUCCUUUCCUUAUUUGCUGCUUGUUACUGGGUCAUCUUUCCAAGUGAACAACCCACUAAUUUAUGAUAGAACGUUUCCCCAUGCAAACUGUGCUGAGAACCUCAUACUUUUUGCAGAUUCUAGUGACAGAGAAGAUGAUAAAACCUUCCUGCAUUUUCAGAGUAUAUAUCAGAAGCCUACUGGAGAAAUAGUAAUCUUGUUAAUAAUCAAAACUCCAGAGGGCCCUAUGGCUGAAGAUAAGUGUGUUUAGAUGCCACUGAGCUUUUAAACUGAGCUUUUCAACUUGAAGACCAAUAAUAAGCACCCCAGUACUUGCUCUUUAGAAAAAGGGGGGGGGGACAACACAACAAUAUGAUGUAUUAUUACCACCCCUUGUUCUUACUUGGCAUGAGCCUGUGUUCUGCGCAGAGUGGCUGUCAAUAUACUUUACUCUGAAAUCUCCAAAAAGGUGAUCUCAUUACCACGUGGCUCUGGUUUCUGGCUGCAUAGCACAUUUCUAGCAUGAUAUGUGUAAGAGGAAGAGUUAUCU
rnacentral:lncRNA from 1 species